ACCAAAGGGGGCUUAGGCUCCCGCGCAAAGAGAGGCCCAAGUGAGAUUAGCUAGUUGGUGGGGUAAAGGCUCACCAAGGCAACGAUCUCUAGCUGUUCUGAGAGGAAGAUCAGCCACACUGGGACUGAGACACGGCCCAGACUCCUACGGGAGGCAGCAGUGGGGAAUAUUGGACAAUGGGCGCAAGCCUGAUCCAGCCAUGCCGCGUGUGUGAAGAAGGCCUUCGGGUUGUAAAGCACUUUCAGUGGGGAGGAAG
rnacentral:rRNA from 1 species